CCUACGGGGGGCAGCAGUGGGGGAUAUUGCACAAUGGGGGGAACCCUGAUGCAGCGACGCCGCGUGGGUGAAGAAGCGCCUCGGCGCGUAAAGCCCUGUCAGCAGGGAAGAAAAUGACGGUACCUGAAGAAGAAGCCCCGGCUAACUACGUGCCAGCAGCCGCGGUAAUACGUAGGGGGCAAGCGUUAUACGGAUUUACUGGGUGUAAAGGGGGCGCAGUGGGGGAUGAAAGCCAGGAGGGAAAGCCCGGGGGCCAACCCCGGGACUGCUGUUGGAACUGCGUGGCUGGAGUGCAGGAGGGGCAGGCGGAAUUCCUGGUGUAGCGGUGAAAUGCGUAGAUAUCAGGAGGAACACCGGUGGCGAAGGCGGCCUGCUGGACUGCAACUGACGUUGAGGCCCGAAAGCGUGGGGAGCAAACAGGAUUAGAUACCCUUGUAGUC
rnacentral:rRNA from 1 species